CGUCGUAGUCGGAUACGAAUAGGCUUCGGCCAUGUACCUCAACAGGUCGGCACCGCCCCCUUUGCGGAAGCGCUUUGGGGGUCGUCGACGGAUUGUCAGUGAAUGAACGGGCGGGGCAGAGCCCUCUGCAGACGACCGAGUUGUAUCACCGGGUCCUGUACGCGGUAGAGUAGCCUAGUUGUUACGAUCCGCUGAGGGUCAUCCCGACGUGAUCAGGCUGUU
rnacentral:ncRNA from 1 species